rnacentral:misc_RNA from 1 species
AACGCACAUUGCGCCCCUUGGUAUUCCGGGGGGCAUGCCUCUUCCAGCGUCAUUUCACCCCUCAAGCUCUGCUUGGUGUUGGGCCGCGCCAGCAAUGGCGGGCCUCGAAAACAGUGGCGACGCCAUCGGGCUCUCAGCGUAGUAACUUUUCUCGCUGCUGGGCUCCGGUGGACUGGUCCGCCAGUAACCCCCAACUUUUCUAAGUUUGACCUGGGAUGAGGUAGGGAUACCCGCUGAACUUAA